rnacentral:tRNA from 1 species
GGAGAGGUCGCAUAGAGGCCGAGUGCGCUCGCUUGGAAAGCGAGUAGUCCGCAAGGACUCGAGGGUUCGAAUCCCUCCCUCUCCGCCA